AAACCCUGGCAACGGGCAAAGAGACACCUUGUUGGUGGUAGUGGUCUUAUAUCAGUCAGGAGCAGAUCAGAUGGCAGUCCUUUGUCCAUCCUAGCUUGAUGCCUGGCUUGGUGGCCAAGUGCUGUUUUAUGCCUAGGUCUCAUAA